GAGUUUGAUCAUGGCUCAGAACGUACGCUGGCGGCACGCCUAACACAUGCAAGUCGAACGAGGUAGCAAUACUUAGUGGCAGACGGGUGAGUAACAUGUAGGUAUCUGCCCUUUGGCCUGGAAUAACACGAGGAAACUUGUGCUAAUACCGGAUAAGUCUUUACGGAGAAAGCUUUAUGCACCAUUGGAUGAGCCUGCACUUGAUUAGUUUGUUGGUGGGGUAAUGGCCUACCAAGACUGUGAUCAAUAGCUGAUUUGAGAGGAUGAUCAGCCACAUUGGGACUGAGACACGGCCCAAACUCCUACGGGAGGCAGCAGUGGGGAAUCUUGCACAAUGGAGGAAACUCUGAUGCAGCGAUGCCGCGUGAGUGAAGAAGGCCCUUGGGUUGUAAAGCUCUUUCGUCGGGGAAGAAAAUGACUGUACCCGAAUAAGAAGGUCCGGCUAACUUCGUGCCAGCAGCCGCGGUAAUACGAAGGGACCUAGCGUAGUUCGGAAUUACUGGGCUUAAAGAGUUCGUAGGUGGUUGAAAAAGUUAGUGGUGAAAUCCCAGAGCUUAACUCUGGAACUGCCAUUAAAACUUUUCAGCUAGAGUAUGAUAGAGGAAAGCAGAAUUUCUAGUGUAGAGGUGAAAUUCGUAGAUAUUAGAAAGAAUACCAAUUGCGAAGGCAGCUUUCUGGAUCAUUACUGACACUGAGGAACGAAAGCAUGGGUAGCGAAGAGGAUUAGAUACCCUCGUAGUCCAUGCCGUAAACGAUGUGUGUUAGACGUUGGAAAUUUAUUUUCAGUGUCGCAGGGAAACCGAUAAACACACCGCCUGGGGAGUACGACCGCAAGGUUAAAACUCAAAUGAAUUGACGGGGACCCGCACAAGUAGUGGAGCAUGUGGUUUAAUUCGAAGAUACGCGCAGAACCUUACCAACACUUGACAUGUUCGUCGCGACUCUAAGAGAUUAGAGUUUUCGGUUCGGCCGGACGAAACACAGGUGCUGCAUGGCUGUCGUCAGCUCGUGUCGUGAGAUGUUGGGUUAAGUCCCGCAACGAGCGCAACCCUCACUUUUAGUUGCCAUCAUUAAGUUGGGCACUCUGAAAGAACUGCCAGUGAUAAGCUGGAGGAAGGUGGGGAUGACGUCAAGUCCUCAUGGCCCUUACGUGUUGGGCUACACACGUGCUACAAUGGUAUCUACAACAAGGAGCAAGACGGCGACGUUAAGCAAAUCCCUAAAAGAUACCUCAGUUCGGAUUGCACCCUGCAACUCGAGUGCAUGAAGCUGGAAUUACUAGUAAUCGUGGAUCAGCGUGCCACGGUGAAUGCGUUCCCGGGUCUUGUACACACCGCCCGUCACACCAUGGGAGUUGGUUCUACCUUAAGGCAAGGUUUCAAACCCUUGACCACGGUAUAGUCAGCGACUGGGGUGAAGUCGUAACAAGGUAACC
rnacentral:rRNA from 1 species